CUUAAUCGCAAUGAAAGGUAUAUUGUUGUUCAGUUCACAACUUCACAUUCACACUGAUUUGCAAAUCUUAAUGGAAGUAUACAUUGUAGUACCUACCAAGCAGAAAAACUGUUUGGUUUGGUAUCCAACUACCCAAUAUAGGUUUUAUCUCAUAGGCUAUGCUCAAAAACUAUAUUUCAAAUUGCAAUGUUAAUAUGAAGUGAUUAACUUUUCUUGGAAGCUUCAUAAUUGAUACUCACAAUGUGAUGGUUGUCCUUGCUUUAAAUACUUCAUUAGAAAUGUUGUGGAAUGAAUGCAGAAGUUUGAAACCUAAUGUGAGGGGAAUUCAAGAGAGAUUGUAUACAGGGGAGGGAUGUAAAGAUAAAAAUAUAUCUUGGGACUUAAAAUGACUAAACAAAAACAUUUGGUUGCAGUUCUAUUGGUGUAUUUCAAAGAAUUCAAGAAAACUCCAAACAUCAUUGUUUAAAGUGACAUUCAAAUUCAAGAUAUCAUCUUUUAACAUGUCUUGCAUUAAAAAAUUUAUAUCAUUAUGUAUUUGGAACUUGAAAGCACUUCUUUUCUUUUUAUAACAUCAUUACCUCGUAUAUUAGUACUUAAAAGGUGCUACUGUGCUUUUGCUUGAGUGAUUUCAAUAUCUAGUAAAUAAACUGAUUUCCCCUAUCAUAUGUGUGGCAAAAUGUGGUUCACUCAUCUUCUUAUGUUACUUGUUCCUCAUUUCUCCAAAGAGAUAGGACAGAAUGGUUGACUUUUUUAGUUGGAACUUUUUUGCUUCUUGAAUGACAUAACCAAUUACCCAUAUUAGGUGAUUAUUACUGCGCGGUUCCUUCUAUAGCUAUAGAGGCGACAAACCAUGCAGCUACUUGGGUUAACAUUUACUUUUGCACGCGGAAACAAAACUAGGUCUUGCAGUCUUACUACUUUGGGUUGACUUUGCAGUUCUGAAAUUAGAUUGCAGUUAUAUGAUGGUCUAGGGUAUUACACAAUGUGUUAUCAUGUGAUUGCAGCUCUGUUAGUUAAAACAAAUUGAUAUUGCAUAUUCUAGAUAUUUGAUUCAUGUACAUAAAUUGUUUCUUGCAUAGUUUAAUUGUUUAAAUUUCUUGCCUUUUGUUUGCUGAAUGGUUGUCCCUUAGUUUAGUUGCUUAAAUUUGUUGUCAUGUCAUUGGCAUUUAUAGGUUUUAUUUGAUCUUUCUCAAGUUUAAUUUUUGGCAGCUUCUAUUCAACAUUUGCAUUUCUCAUACCCAAUUUUUUUUGAGUAAGGCUUUAUCUCAUCUCUCUGAUUUCUGGCACCACUGAAGUUGUUCAGUCAGGGAACUAUGGAUGUGAUAUGAUACAGUACUGAAUUUUAUUACAAGUCUAUUAUCUCCCUUUCAUAUGGGAAUUUUCCAUCACAUGUGUAGAUAACAUAGUACUAACUUAGUUAUUUGACAAGAAAACCAUGGGGUGUGCAGCUUCGUGUUUUUAUCUCUGGGAUUGGAGCCAGUGAUCUAGCCAACAUUAAAAAGCACACUUGCAGGGCCUAUAGUACAGUCAUAUACUUUUAGAUUACCUGGCUAUUUUAUCAAUUAUGUUCUGAUUUCUAGAAAGGAAUUAUCAUAUUAUAGCAACAAAUUUUUGUUGAACUGGUGAUGCAUUUGGGAAUAUUCUCAUUGCUAAUCUUUUGGGGACGUAGAGUAAAUUCUCAUUGCAACUAGGAGGGCCUAUAGUUGGAUUUAGCAUAUCUGCAGUGCUAGGGAAAGAGCAGGUUGUCUUUAGUCCUACACAUUACUCGUAUUCUUUCUCUUGCUUUAAAAUAAUUGUCAGAUAAGGAUGCUUUUACAUGGGUAGGACAUUCCGAAACAAUGGAAAACAAAGUCCUGCUCACAGACUCAUAUCUGUACUUAUCACAGAGUCCACUAAGUUCCUACUAACCAUUCCAAGCUGGGAUUGGGGUUGGUGAUCUCAGAGUUUGUCUUAAACAAAUCUUGCUUGGGCUUUUGUGUUGGGUUGGGUUGGGUUAUAUUGUGCUUUCUAUAUUGUAUGAAUAUCUACCGUUUAGAAUGCAUCUUAACAUUUGGUGUAAACACCUGUUCAAGAUCAACAAAGUAAUCCAAUUCAAACGUAUUCCUAUCUUUAUCUUAAGUUCUGAUUAAUCCAUGACCAUCUGAACUUUACCAGACCAACUUUAGCCAUUCCUGAUCCUUUAUUGGUCACCAGCGCCGGCCCCAACCCCCCCCCCCUCCCUCCCUCCCUCUUCUCUUUCCCAACUGAAAACAAAACCAACAACCCCAAGCCUCCAAACCUCUUCCUGCAUUUUAUAUUUUACCUCAAGUUAAUCACUAUGAUGGUGAGGCCACCACUAUCCACCUUUGAAGUGUGAUAUAUUCUGCUCUCAUUUUUCACAUGCAUGUGCACCUCUGUGUUUUUUUCAAUGUAAUGUUAAUCGGACCAUGAUUUAGAGGUUGUAUGCUUCUUACUUGACAGGAAGCGCCUGUUUAGCCUGA
rnacentral:misc_RNA from 1 species